rnacentral:lncRNA from 1 species
AAUGCAUUAUUAAUUGCUAGGGGAGGCUAGGGAUAGCAAGCCAAUAAUUAGUAAUAGGCUCUUUUCGCCGAGGGAUCGGGUUAAGGGUAGGCCAAGAAAGUUUGCAUAAUAAUUAGAUAACAAAGCGCAAUAAACAAGAGGAGUAGGUAAGAGGGAGCGGAUGGGAUGAAAUUGUAAACCCCCAACAACUUCAUUCUGUUACCAAUAAGGAGUAUUCGUAAAACCCGAUGAUGUUGCAAAAAGUAUUAAUUGAAGAGAACAUUAGAAUUAUUUAAAAACCAACUUGUAGAAUUUGGAUGUAGUAGGAAAAUCUUUAAUCUUGUAUUUUUAACUUGAAUAAUCGAUUAUGGACAAGCUAUAAUCGAUUAUCACUUGCAUUUUGUACUAGAAUAAUCG